GAUGAAGAACGCAGUGAAAUGCGAUAAGUAGUGUGAAUUGCAGAAUUCAGUGAAUCAUCGAAUCUUUGAACGCACAUUGCGCCCUUUGGUAUUCCUUAGGGCAUGCCUGUUCGAGCGUCAUUUAAACCUUCAAGCUCAGCUUGGUGAUGGGUGACUGUCCUCCCCUCGCGGGGGGACUCGCCUCAAAAACAUUGGCGGCCGGUACAUUGGCUUCGAGCGCAGCAGAAACGCGGUCUCGAGCCCGGUGGAUCGGCUCCCAUAAGUCUAUUCUUUUAUUUUGGCCUCGGAUCAGGUAGGGAUACCCGCUGAACUUAAGCAUAUCAAUAAGCGGAGGA
rnacentral:misc_RNA from 1 species